GUGUGUUGGGCUGGGGACUCCUCCUGAGUGCUGGAGCCUGUCUGCCUGCCCAGCCCAUGGAGUUCUUGUGCAGGCCUUGGAGGGGCCCCACGAAGGGCAGCUCCAGGGACUGGAAUGGCUGGGCCACGUUCUUCCGGGCCUGGGGAGGAAGGUUUUGUUUCACUUUCGAUGGAGGGGAUGGCUCUAGAGAGAGGCCUGUUUCUUCAUUUGCAGGCAGGCUGAGCCUGGAGGUGCUGCAGUGAGGAUUUGACCAUGACCUGGUUCCCGAAGCACCUGGACUGGAGCAGAAAGGACAAUGGUAAAGGACUGCAGAUGCCCCUGGGGAUCCCCAUCGCAACUGGAGUCCUGGCUCUCCUCGCUCUCCUCGCUUUGGCCUGUCAUUGCGUCAAAGAGGUCCUUCCUCCUGCCCCUGCGCCCCUGCCCCAGGCCCCUUGCUCGCCAUCUUCCCUCCUCAUGACCCUCUCUGCUUCUAGGCCUGGAAGUCCAAGUGGAAGCCUCGCUGGAGGUGCUGGAGGCGCCCUUGCUCUGAUCUGCAGCUUGUCUCCAUACACUGCCCACAUGAGGGACAUCUGGGAACCCCUUCUGCAGAGCCUAGUGCCUCCCGGGUGCUUUCCCCAGUGUGCCCCUGAGGACUCGAGUGAGGGGCCCUCUGCUUGGAGAUGAGGAGUCCCCACUGCCGGUGCUCCAGAGAAGACUGGAGAAGUUUCCUAGGAUCUAGUGAGGAGUCAAAGACUAUCUGUUAACGUGACUGAGCGACUGAAUGGAUCCCGAGGCGGGGGCACUGUGGAUGCAGACAGGUAUUGGGAGGGCCUCCCUGGGCCUGCACAAGAAUGCCAUGGCUCGGCAGGUGGACAGACUCCAGCACUCAGGCGUCCCCAGCAUGCAGCAGAGCAAGUUCCAGAAAGUCACGUGGAUCCCCAAAAGGCAGCGUCUUCCUGGGGGGGGGGGCACUGGCAGAUGUGUUCCUCCCCUGGUCUGUGGUGUUGACUCUGCCUGGGCACCUGAAGUAGCAGAGGUUCCAUGAUCCAUCCUUCACUGGGGGAAAUGGGGUGACCCAAAGGAGAGCCGGGGGCUGGGCGAUGGAGGCCUGUAGCCUCGAGGUUUGCUGGAGAGGGCAGAGUGAAGCCUGGACCUGGCCUUCCCCCCCAGAGGACCUACCUAUCCUUGUCCAAGCAGAGCUGUCGAAUAGGUGGCACCUUUCCAGGGCCACAAGAAGGGCCACUCCACCCCCACCCAGGCAGCUCCAGAACCUUCCUGCUCAGCUUAGGAAGUGCCGGUGAGGCUAGGGCCCACUGGAGUAUGUCUGGGAUCCCUGGCUGACGGGAGCGAAGCCACUGGAACCUUCCAGGCCGGGGUACUCCCGCAGAUCCGUGCUCAUCUUCCUGGAUUGGGAGCUGCCUGGACUCCUGAGGCCCAGUGCCCAGAGCUGUGUGAUGGCCUUUCCUGGGAGGAAAAAUGUCAGAGAGGGAAAAUUUAGGAAGGGCAGUCGAUCAGGGGUGGUGGCAGGCGGAAUUCUAAGAUGGCCCCGAGAUUACUGCCUCUCAAUGUCCACAGGAUCCAUGAGCUGCCUCUGAAGUGCGUUUGGACCUGUGAAUACGCCAGAUGUCUGUCCUCUGGCUGGGUCGUUAUGUGGCAGCCAUGAAGGGAUUUUUGUAAGGAAGUUAAGGUCUCUAAUCGGUUGUCUUUGAUUUCCUCAAAAGGGAGAUGGGGCCAGACAUAGCCGUACACUCCUGUAGUCUUAGCUUAGGAGCCUGGGUCGUUGGAGCCCUGGAGUUCAAGGCCAGUCUGGGCAGCAUAAUGAGGUCCUCUUUGUGUUCCCCCCGUAAAAAGGAAGGGGGACAGGCGGUGGGCCUGA